rnacentral:lncRNA from 1 species
ACGAACAAGAAAGUCUAACGCUUGCUGUACUGUAAAGUUGUGUACGUGUUCCACUCUGUGCAAGAAGCACCACUGCAUGUGCAAACAGCCAUUUGGCUGAUUGCACACUCAGUGGCAUAAAUGGUGGCUUCUUCGCAGCAUGGCCAUCAUCCCUCGUCAUAACGCCUGUGCCAGACAGUGCUGCCGAGCGCCGACCUGUAGUACCGGUCCCACCUCAAGUUACAGCCACAAGCAUAGCACCUCAUGGGAUAGUAUGCACACCCUUCGACUCGGCGAUUCUUCACAGAGGCAUCGACAUCAUAGGGCCUUGUGCGCCCAGUAUCAGCCAGUGCGAGUUGUCAGCACACGGCAACAGUGCUAGAGCUGCAGACUUUGCUGCUACCGGCGAGCCCAUCAUUCAGCAGUUGGGCGAAGGAGGGGCCAGCAGUGACCAGGACAUGGCUGCAACGCAGUCCCAGAGGACACCCAAGCCUUUUGCCUGUCACGUCUGCCCCAUGAGUUUCGGUUUUCACUCACAGCUUCAGGUACACCUGCGGUCACACACCAAGGAGACACCGUACCGAUGUCCCCACUGCUUCAAGGGCUUCUCGCAGAAGGGCAACUACAACCGACACAUGCGAAUCCACAUGUGAGCAGGAGAGCAGCGUAUCAAGGCAACACGGACAUUUAAGGUUAAGCUUGCUCUUUCCCCACGUUGCACAGAGUACAGUAAUGUGAAGCGCCUCACCUAGUCUUGCCGGUGCUUCCGUGCCAAAAAAAUGAAGUUGCUUGACAACAUAUUAGAAUGAGAGAGCUUCCCCAUGUGUAUGAACAGAAGGUAGCUUCAGACCUUCUGCUGAGAUUUCGGAAAGCGACUGUAGUGAUAGACACUCGCCUUCGUGUCCUGGAAUAAGAAAAACCUCAGACCAGGCAUAUCUGUGCCUGAAGCAACAGAAUCAUCACCACCGCCACCACUAUGUUGGCCACCUAGGGUGUGUCAAAAUGUCUGUACAUUUUGGACAGGCUCCACAAGAUUGUGCAGUGACAAGUGACGUCAAGCGGUGUGCUCAAGUAACUGCAGGCAUAUGUCAUAUGUGCGUCGGGCAUUCCUUUUCGGACAUUGUAGAUAUCCGUGGGGCAUUGUUGGAUGUCUAAGGCUCGUAGAAUGUUCAGCAUUAACUGUGUUGUAUAUCUGUGGACAUUGUUACUGCAGGUGAGUGUGUGAUCUUUUGAGAUUGUAUGAAAAAGGGGAGAAAUUUGAUUUUUUUUUAAGAAAAAAGAAGCACUACUUCAGCUUCCGCAGGCUCUCAUUAUGCUUUUGCAUGUUCAUAUAGCUGUAAGAAUCAUGUGCGAUCAUAUACCAAAGAGACUGCCACGAUUCUUUUCUGUUUGGAGGGUUCCAACAAGAAAAAUGGCUACAACUAUUUUGUGUAGGUCCACAUGUAAGAGGAAGGCAGUGUGUGACUAACUAAACUCUAGUACAGCAGGCGUGCCAAGAUGUUGCUGCUUUCCUGAACUCAUUCUGCAAGAGUGUGUGGAGUGACGAUUUGUGUAAAGAACACCCAGUGAACUGUUUGGACUAUGACAAGUGGUUGCAUAAAUAUUCAAGCUUCACACUCAAAGCCAUUGUCGAGUACUGUGUGUUUGUCUCCAUCUCCUUCUCUUUCUUCUAGAGUGCAUGUAUGUUUGUGCCAGUAAGAAUAAGUUGGGGUGUUGUUCUCCAUACUAUACUGGUUGCGUAUUUUGCACAAAUAUAUAGUUUGGUCUUUCGUCGCUUAGACAGACAGAAAUCUGAACAAGUUGGUGUAAAUUCAUGGGUAUGAAAUGGCAUGCAUACAAAAUGUGGACAGAUAAAGUAGAAACAGCCAACAUUUUGUGUUGUUUCUCUUUUGUUCAUGCUUUGUACGCCUGCCUUUUCAUUUCUUAAUUUCUAUAACUGCACACUUAAAAGUGUUCUUAUAGUUGUUGUUCUUGUUUUUUCUGGAAACAAGCUACGACUUAAAGGUG